GGCACAAACUUGAAGUAGAGUAGGUUGUUAUGGUCAGCUGAUCCUACUAAUCCACUCUACUUCAAAUUUGGGCCC
rfam:Haemonchus contortus, ISE/inbred ISE, WGS project CAVP01000000 data, contig: Hcontortus_43982